rnacentral:lncRNA from 1 species
AUACUUCAGCCAUAGGGAGCCUCACAUAUGCCAUGCUUGAAGGAAAGGGAAACUAUUUUUCUUCGGAUAGCCCAAGUUGUAUCUAAAAUUUUUUUAUAAAUCUACAUGAAUAAGAAUCAAAUCUCUAUCUGAAUAACAGUGAAACUGAAGAUCAAAUCUUCAAAAAUUUAAAAUCAACCUUCGUAAAGGCCUGAAAGUGCAGACCUUCUACUUCACAUGCACGUC